rnacentral:misc_RNA from 1 species
GAGAGAGAGAGAGAGAGAGGAAACAACCGCCCAAGUGAAUUGCUAUAGAAAGAUAUGACAACGAGAAGUCUGAGCAGCUGUAGUAUCAGUGCAUGUUUAAUGACCAAAGUUCGUAUUACUAAGGGCCUGUUUUGUUACUCAAAACUCGAAAGGGUAAUGUAUACAUGGGGCAUUGUUCUCUCAAUGAAAAAUUCAGGAUAAAUUUUAAGUUUAUGGAUUUUGGAAUACAAAUGGAAAAUAAGUGAAGGGCAUGACGUAUAUUAAUUAUGGUUGAAAUCUUAUAUUGCGUUCGAGGUGAUAAGCUUGAGGUGCAAGUUGCAAACCAAAGCAAAAAUCAGAUCAAAAGCACAUGCCAUGUCCUCCUCACCUAAACAUGGCCAUAUUGGGUGUGGAAUAACCAUGAUUCUAUCUAUGAAGUAUUUCAAAAGGGAAGAUAUAAACAGAUUAUCAACAGUUCUAUAAUUGGUUAAUUUAAACUCGUGUUUCUUUGGAACAUUAAAAUUGAUUCAAAUUCAU